CCCCCCCCCCAGUGUCCGCCACUGAUUUCAAAGUAUGGACCAAAUGUAUUCCACAGUUUCAUCAUAUGGAAAAUUAUAAAAUGAAAGCUCGAGAUUUAUUUUACUGUUGGUAAAACAACCAGGAACACAACACGUAAAACCACCACUUUCGCGCCAAAACAAACCGAGGAGUGAAAACAAUUUUCAAACUGAAAAAAUAUCUAAAAGGUUGAAAAACCCUCCCUGAACUGACUUCAAUAGAUUUAGUGUCAAGCCCGAAAUGUACUUUUUUCCGACCUAAAUGCGUAAAAACAAGUAUAUUUCUUUGACAUAUAAGUAUCAAAAAGCAGUGCUAAAUAUUUAAAUAGUUUCAAAAGCUCAGCAUAUUUUCAGCUAUACUUCGAAAAAUAUACGUUAAAAUAUAAAGAACUUACCCUGAAACACAAAAAUGUAAAAAAUACCUUAAAACUUAAACAUGAUUUCUAGACUUCAGUUAUAUAUUUUUAUAAAUGCUGCAUGAACACAAUGACAAUGUUUUCGGCAAGUAUACAAUUUUAAUUGUUGCUGCGACGUCGAAAGAACAUUUUUGAAGCAUGUUAUUAGGCUAAAACGAUCAGGAAAUAAAUAGUUUUAAUCAGUUGACCUUUUCAGUGUCUUAUUGUUGAGUAGAAUAUUGCAUAAAAAAUAAAGGCUUUUUAUCUUGUCGUUUUACUAGCAACAUGUCAACCAUGCUUGGACUAAAGUAACAAACACAACAUGAUCUCGAAUCUGGUUCGUAACACUGGAGUUUUUUUAGGAAUUUAAUUAAGCAUCGAACAAAAAAAUAAAUACGUUAUUUACCGUUAUGGUCGGCCCGUACUUGAAAAAUAUUUUCCCUCGGUCUCAGAAGCGUUCCUCGACCUUCGCUCUCGGCCCGCUUCUGAGACCUCGAGAAAAUAUUUUUCAAUACAGACCUCCCAGCCGGUAAAUAACAUAUAUUUAUUAUAUAUGGACA